rnacentral:rRNA from 1 species
UUUUCCGGGGGUGGCCGGCCGCGACGCCCGCCGGAGGUACCCAACUCUUUGUUUUAUAGGCCUCUUUGAGUCUUUGUACUGAAUAAGUCAAAAGUUUCUACAACGGAUCUCUUGGUUCUGGAAUCGAUGAAGAACGCAACGAAAUGCGAUAAGUAAUGUGAAUUGCAGAAUUAUGUUAAUCAUCAAAUCUUUGAACGCACAUUGCGCCCGCCGGAAUUCCGGCGGGCAUGCCUGUUCGAGCGUCAUUUCAACCAUCAAGCCCCCGGGUUUGCUUUGGGGACCUGCGGCUGCGCGCAGGCCCCGAAAACCAGUGGCGGGCUCGUCGACACACCGAGGGUAGUACUUUACCCCUCGGUUAGGGGCGUCGCGGGCGGGCGCUGGCCGUUAAACCCCCCCUUCUCACCAAAGGGGGACCGCGGAUCUAGUAAAGAAUAUCCGCUGAACUUCAGCGUUCCAUAAGGGGAGAAAAAUAAACCAAUAGGGGAUUGCCCACUAA